rnacentral:rRNA from 1 species
UACAGAGGUCUCAAGCGUUGUUCGGAUUCAUUGGGCGUAAAGGGUGCGUAGGCGGCGCGGUAAGUCGGGUGUGAAAUCUCGGGGCUUAACUCCGAAACUGCAUUCGAUACUGCCGUGCUUGAGGACUGGAGAGGAGACUGGAAUUUACGGUGUAGCGGUGAAAUGCGUAGAUAUCGUAAGGAAGACCAGUGACGAAGGCGGGUCUCUGGACAGUUCCUGACGCUGAGGCACGAAGGUCAGGGGAGCAAACGGG